rnacentral:rRNA from 1 species
GACGAACGCUGGCGGCGUGCUUAACACAUGCAAGUCGAACGGUGAAGGGACCAGCUUGCUGGUUCUGGAUGAGUGGCGAACGGGUGAGUAACACGUGAGUAACCUGCCCCCUUCUUCUGGAUAACCGCAUGAAAGUGUGGCUAAUACGGGAUAUUCUGGGUCUGUCGCAUGGCGGGCCCGGGAAAGAUAUUGCUUCGGUGGGGGAUGGGCUCGCGGCCUAUCAGCUUGUUGGUGGGGUGAUGGCCUACCAAGGCGGUGACGGGUAGCCGGCCUGAGAGGGUGGACGGUCACACUGGGACUGAGACACGGCCCAGACUCCUACGGGGGGCAGCAGUGGGGAAUAUUGCACGAUGGACGCAAGCCUGAUGCAGCGACGCCGCGUGAGGGAUGGAGGCCUUCGGGUUGUAAACCUCUUUCGCCAGUGAAGCAGGCCUGCUCCUUGUGGGUGGGUUGACGGUAGCUGGAUAAGAAGCGCCGGCUAACUACGUG